AUACGGAGGAUCCGAGCGUUAUCCGGAUUUAUUGGGUUUAAAGGGUGCGCAGGCGGCCAUUUAAGUCAGCGGUUAAAUCGUGGGGCUCAACCCCAUUCUGCCGUUGAUACUGGGUGGCUUGAUUGCGGUCGAGGUUGGCGGAAUUCGUUGUGUAGCGGUGAAAUGCAUAGAUGUGACGAAGAACACCGAUUGCGUAGGCAGCUGACCAGACCGCAAAUGACGCUCAUGCACGAAAGUGCGGGGAUCGAACAGGAUUAGAUACCCUGGUAGUCCGCACAGUAAACGAUGAAUACUUGUUUUCGGCGAUAUAAUGUCGGAGGCAAAGCGAAAGCGAUAAGUAUUCCACCUGGGGAGUACGCCGGCAACGGUGAAACUCAAAGGAAUUGACGGGG
rnacentral:rRNA from 1 species